rnacentral:rRNA from 1 species
AACUUUCAACAACGGAUCUCUUGGUUCUGGCAUCGAUGAAGAACGCAGCGAAAUGCGAUAAGUAAUGUGAAUUGCAGAAUUCAGUGAAUCAUCGAAUCUUUGAACGCACAUUGCGCCCCCUGGCAUUCCGGGGGGCAUGCCUGUUCGAGCG